ACGGAGGGGGUUAGCGUUGUUCGGAAUUACUGGGCGUAAAGCGCACGUAGGCGGAUUAAUAAGUCAGGGGUGAAAUCCCGAGGCUCAACCUCGGAACUGCCUUUGAUACUGUUAGUCUUGAGUUCGAGAGAGGUGAGUGGAAUUCCGAGUGUAGAGGUGAAAUUCGUAGAUAUUCGGAGGAACACCAGUGGCGAAGGCGGCUCACUGGCUCGAUACUGACGCUGAGGUGCGAAAGCGUGGGGAGCAAACAGG
rnacentral:rRNA from 1 species